rnacentral:rRNA from 1 species
CCUACGGGCGGCAGCAGUGGGGAAUAUUGCACAAUGGGCGCAAGCCUGAUGCAGCCAUGCCGCGUGUGUGAAGAAGGCCUUCGGGUUGUAAAGCACUUUCAGCGGGGAGGAAGGCGUUAAGGUUAAUAACCUUGGCGAUUGACGUUACCCGCAGAAGAAGCACCGGCUAACUCCGUGCCAGCAGCCGCGGUAAUACGGAGGGUGCAAGCGUUAAUCGGAAUUACUGGGCGUAAAGCGCACGCAGGCGGUCUGUCAAGUCGGAUGUGAAAUCCCCGGGCUCAACCUGGGAACUGCAUUCGAAACUGGCAGGCUAGAGUCUUGUAGAGGGGGGUAGAAUUCCAGGUGUAGCGGUGAAAUGCGUAGAGAGCUGGAGGAAUACCGGUGGCGAAGGCGGCCCCCUGGACAAAGACUGACGCUCAGGUGCGAAAGCGUGGGGAGCAAACAGGAUUAGAUACCCGGGUAGUC